AUCAAGCAUCCCUUUCCUUCACCCCUUCCAAGCGCCGCAGCGCCAUCAUCUUUCUCCAUCCGCUGUUUCCUGCUCCUCGUCCAUCCGCGUCGUGCUCCCCCACGGCCCCACCCUUCCCCAUUCACAUCCACGCUCUCCGAUGCGGCGCCCUCCGAUGCGGGCGUAGGCCAGACAUCCCAGCGGCGGAUGCCGGCAGCUGCGGGGGCGGGCCGCGCAGGCUGGGCGAGCUACGGGCCAUGAAGCCGGAGCUAUUUGCUGCUGAGGGAGCCGCGUUGGCGCUAUUACGCUUGUCAGGUACUCAGGUGUUCAUCCCCAUCUCAAUUUCACCUUGAUUCCUCUCACCCGCCCGCUGUACCGGCGUUCAAUCCCGUUUGCUUGCCUGAUUACCCUUGCCCAUCUGCACCGCAAAGCUGGCCGCCCUCCCCAUCCUGUUGCUCUCCACGCGCUCCUUGCCGUUAGCGAAGUGUGAGCACGCAGAGCCAGAAGCAGAGCAGUAGAGGUGGCGUCUGCGACUGCGAGCGGGCUGGUCCUCCUCUCCUUCCCAUCACAUCGCUUCGGUGGUGGCUGCGGCCACAGGACGAGGCGGUCAGGCUGGCUUCCCCAAUUUUCAUAGGCAGAGAUCGAUGGCGGUUUCGGUGAACGCGGCUCCAUCAUCGAGGGAAAGCAAGUGCGGCGCUCACCUUUCUCGUCGCGGAUCCAUGGGUGCAGGAGGAGGUGGACCUGGCAGCAGCAGAAGCCAUGGGCUGCACGCAAAGCAGUGUCGUGCCCUCGCUGGUCAGCGGUGUGUGCACUCGGAGGAGGGUGGCCCGGGCGGCGGCUCACUUGACAGCGCUCGGCUCCGGGUCAGCACGACGAGAUGCGGCGACGGGCGUGAUUUGCUUUUGGAUGGUGAGGGCAGCCUGGGCAGCUGUCAUGCUCGCCCUGCUGCUCCCUCUCAAGGCGAAGGAAUAGAAGCCUCUUCUUUUGUGCAUCCGAUGCCACCAGAAUGGCCUUGAGAUGCCUGGUUGAAUCACUGGUUCUCCUCCUCUACUUCUUCACUAGAGUGACUUUUGGUGGAGUCCUGGAGACGCCUCCCAAUUUGUGGGUAAGCUGCAGCUAGCGGUAUUGUUCCAUCCCUGCAGCCGUCUACUGCAUGCAGCAUGCAUGCUCACCACAUGCUUGAUAAAAUGCCGGCAAUGAUCAUCUUACACGUUGUGUUGGUAAAUUUUACCAUCGGUCAGGAUUUUGUAACUAAAAGCAUGUGGACUUGUGGAGUAGCAGAGCUAAAAAUCAGCCAGGACUCAGGUGAGUAGGAUCAUGUGUGAGAAGCCUUUAGUUACGAAAUGAACUAGCUGAAAGAUUUAGCUAAGAAAAGAAGAAAAAUGACACGGUUAUUUGCAUUCUAUAUUUGUGGAGCAUGUUUUUGGUGUCUUCUACCGAGGAUGUAAAUGCAGUCAGAGGGGAAGAAGGUGUACAAAUUGAACCGGUGAUUUGGUAUUUUUCAUCCAGAAAACUAAAUUUCAAAAUAUUUUGUUAAGGAUAUAUUUGACCACAAUAAUAAAAGCAUGUCUAAAGUUUGAGCAACUGAACCUCCAGCUCUUCUGAAAGAUUACUGAACUACUGAAUAUUGAAAA